CAGGGGUGUGUUCUAUCCCCACUCCUCUUCUCCCUGUACACAGAUGACUGCAUUUGUGUGAGCUAAAAAUUAGGGUGAUGAUGAGGAGGCCUUCCAACCUCAAAGUUGUGUGCAGGAUACAUCCAGUGAUUUUGGGUCUUUUGGGUGGUUUUGGGUCUUUCAAUAUCAGAAACUCUCACCCAGGUGACCCAGCUGAGGUUGAUUAGACCACUGCUUGCAUCCCAGCAGCAACCACCCAUGGAUCAGCCUUCUUUAUCCACAGCAACCUUGUGGCCUUCUCUGCGGCUUCACAUACAGAUCGCGUGACCCUCUUCUCAGCCACUCAUGUCAGGUCCAGUUGACUACAGACUUUGCAGAGUGAACGUCCUGCAAAACUGUGGCAACUUCAGCUGCUUCCCCAGGAGAUGGUCCAAGGCAGGGGUCUACAACAUGCGGCUCCGGAGCAGCAAGUGGCUCUUAGGACCUUCCACAAUGGCUUUUAAUAAUUUUGGCUAUAACCAACUAAUGGAUAUAACAACAGCAGGUUUUAGCAGUAUUUCAGAUUUUUUCUUGGAACAAUUGCUUUGAAUUUCCACAACAGAAUGACACUGAAAGUACCAGUAAUAUUGUUUUAGAUCAAUAUUUUUUGCCAUUUGUUUGGAAAAAAUAUAUAUAUAUUUAUAUUAUUUUCUACAAAUAUCCCAUAGAAGAAAAUGUAUCCAUUCUCUUUUUGCAAAAGUUAGAUUUUUAUUUUUUAUUGUAAAACCUUAGUACAGAAAUAAAAUGGUGGUUCUUUAAACAUGACAACAAACCUCCAUUAGUAGAUAUUUAUAAAUACUUAUAAGUUGUUUUGUGGCUCUAAACGGGUUUUAUGUUGCUGAACUGAGAGAAGAAAUUGAUUGAAAAGGUUACAGAUCCCUGGUCUAAUGGAUGAUAAAACAAACUGAUGCCCUCGCUAUAAAGCAUGACCUUAGUAUGUUUACAAAAUGUAUUGUAUAAAUGUUUUUUUUACUUUUAACAAUUUUUAUAAAACAUCAUUAAACGUGUCAAUAUAUUUUCAGUGGUUCAUUGAUGUGAAAGAUUACAACUUUACCCUUAAGCCUCUUUCUGCAGCCAAACAUGUAGUUUGAAAAUAAACACAAGGUCUAACAAAGAUUUGACUUUACAAGUUCCCUAAGACUGCAAAUCCCAUCUCAUUUUACCAUGUUUAGCCAACAGGUUAAACUUAGCUGAAAUAACGAAAGCUAUCCACUAACGAAACCAACUGGGUCAGACCUUGAACGGGUUCUAAACUGCUUUUUCUGGACUCCAGCUGCAGAAAGCAGAAUUUCAUAGGUUGAUUUAGUUUCCUCUGCAUAACUUACCAUUGCUGCGCUCUGCGGGUAAAACAUAAACAAAAUGCUUAAGUCAAACGGAGACCUUCUUUCACAUCCCACCUCUUUAUCAUUACCCUUGUCGGCUGGGCUUAUUCAGCUGCAGGUCCAAAGGGCACCGAGCUUUUCCAAGAAUCCUUGAGGUCUCCUCCUUCCUGCACGGCCAGCCCCGUUUCACCUCCGGAGCAGAGCAGCUCUGUCCCCUUUCAGACCACAAACAUGCUUCGCAGCAGCAGAGGACCGACUGCAGGCGCAGAGACCAGCUGUACAUCAACAAGCGUGCUUCCGGUCAAAACCCUGCAUCUUAUACCCCAGUCACAGAAAAAUAAAUUCACUUGGGCACUGAAAAUAGUUUUUAUUUACAACAAGGACUGACAACCCAGUCCUGCACUGCAUCCUUCAGUAAGUUAUACACAAGUUCCUAAAUUCAGCAUUGAAAAGUGAGAUCCUUUGUCAACAACUCAGGGAACUUUAGGACUAUUUAAACUAGAUUCUCACAGUUUGACCUCGGGUAAAAAUAAGAUGUCUUCUUUACAUCUUAUUAUUAAAAACUAAAAUGUAAAGAAUGAUCUAGUAGCUUAUUUAAAACAGCUUCUAACUGACCCGACUGUACUGCAAGUUUAAAAUUCCUUAACAAGAUUGAUGGGCGGGACGUUUCCACACCAUGUCUGUCCUUGCAGUUUGGGAUUCUAAAUAUUUCUAAACACCCCGGCUGUUUUUUCACCCUGUAGGUAGUAGGCUAGUUUCAGCCAUCUGGUGGUCAGUGUGCAGCAACAGGCUGAGGAGUAAUGUGACCUAAGCCUAUGUUGCAUACUGCUAGUUAGUAUGGCACUUUCUCAAGCAUAUCAUAAUGACCAUAGGAGAGAAAAUGUGAGCUGUUUUGACAUAACGUCUCAAAAUCUCAGUAUAUCUUGAAUCCGUUCACUGGCCACACCUAAUCCCAACCUAUCUCUUUUCUUCACCAAUAAAAAAAACUGUUCACAUGUAUAUCAAAAUUUUCUUUAUAAUCAAUUACUAAAAUCUCACAUAUUAAAUUUAUCUGUAUUGUUUUUUUUACUUAAGACUUUAUCACCCCUGUUACCACUGACUGUGGUUCAGAUCCCCAUAUAGAGGAAACUCUGAGCGACCCCCCUGCAGAGAGAUGUUUUUUUAUGGGUAUAUAGUUGGGUAUGAUACGACCAAAGCUGCAAAGCCAAAAAAAAAUGGCAAAGAGGCAAAAUGUCCAGAACCCACUCAAGAGUGAUGCAUUGAUUGGUGAGACAGCUCUUAUUUGAU